CUUAGCUUAUAAAUUAGUUUCUGUUUUCAACGCUAUUCAAUCCACAAAUACAAUACAAUCCAUAUGAAAUCACAUUGAAACAUAGCUCGAUUACAUAUACACUUAUGCACGCGAGACAGCAGUAUCAGUAUGAAUGUGUGUAACAUGUACGAAGCUGAAAAAGAAG